UACGUAGGGUGCGAGCGUUGUCCGGAAUUAUUGGGCGUAAAAGGGCUCGUAGGCGGUUUGUCGCGUCGGGAGUGAAAUCCACUGGCUUAACUGGUGGCUUGCUUUCGAUACGGGCAGACUGGAGGUAUGCAGGGGAGAACGGAAUUCCUGGUGUAGCGGUGAAAUGCGCAGAUAUCAGGAGGAACACCGGUGGCGAAGGCGGCUUCCUGGACCGACACUGACGCUGAGGCGCGAAAGCUAGGGGAGCAAACGGG
rnacentral:rRNA from 1 species